GUUAUUUUUCAGUUCUUUUGGGGGAUAAACAGAAAAGUUAGUUUAAAAAAAAAUCUAUUUCUUUGCUUAUAUAAGCCUUUACAACAAUUUUUUUUUCUUUUUUAAUUUGAUAUUUUUUUAUUUCAAAAUAUAGACUAUAUGUUCCCUUUCAAAAGAUCCUUAUUGUUUUUAAUAUAAAAUAAUUUCCUAAAUUUCAUUAAUAUUCUCUCCUUUUCCUUCUUGUCAUUAAGGGAUAUCAUAUGAUUACUUUUUGGCAAGAUGAUUUUUAGUCUAUCUAUCCAUGUCUGAUUUUCCUCAAGACCCAAUGACAAUUCAGCUUCACAAAAGAAGGAGAACUGUGUGAAUGAAGUCAUUACUUCCACAAACGUUGUAAAACAUAUUUUCUUUUAUUUACUUCAUAGCAUUCCAGAAUGGUGGAAAAACUAUUUUCCUAACACUGUAUGCUAGAAUCAAAUGAGAUUAAAAUUAUGUGACAAUCCUAAUUAAAAUAGUUUGAUAAUUUAUUUUUAUCCUCUCUAUAUUACAAAGUGUCAAAAAUCUUGAGCAGACCUUUAUUUGAAUGAAACUGUACUUUGUUUAGAAUUAAUGACAAAGUACUUGUUAGCUGGGGCAACAUGAGAAUUGGGCCCAGAGCAUUCUAAUUUUGUAGGUAUUUUUAAUCUGCAUGAUGUAACUUACAUUUUCAACACAGUCUAUUUACUUGCCCAAAAGAUCAUGUCAUUGUUGUUGUUAUGUGACACCAUUAUUUUCCUUAUAAUAAUUUAGUAUACAAGUGGCAGCCAAAUUAUUCUGUCUCUUUUCCAGAUUGACAGAUGAGAAACUGUUCCUUAAUUUUGAAAGAACAGUCUUAAUGUGUUUCAUAGUCUACUGGGAGAUGGUGAUGUCUUUUUCAGCCGAAUGUGUCAAAUUGAUGGGUUCAGGCUGAUGACCCUUCAGGACAAGAGAUGCCAGCUCUGGCAGGGCACUGCACACUUACUGGCAAGUAUUAAAAUAGAUGGAGAAGUGGAGAGCCCCACAGCUGGAGCAGAUGUGGCUGGUUUUGGAGGUGAGUAGCAGACCAUACUAAGCAGCACCAUAAGAGAUAAAACAGCAGGUUUGUUGAUUUCUUGCAUUUUGCAAAACCCCUACUUUGCUGACAAGGCAACAGGA
rnacentral:lncRNA from 1 species